GAUGAAGAACGUAGCGAAAUGCGAUAAGUAAUGUGAAUUGCAGAAUUCAGUGAAUCAUCGAAUCUUUGAACGCACCUUGCGCUCCUUGGUAUUCCGAGGAGCAUGCCUGUUUGAGUGUCAUUAAAUUCUCAACCUUAUCAGUUUAUUUCUGAUAGUGGCUUGGAUGUGGGGGGUUUCUUGCUGGCUGACGUCGGCUCCCCUUAAAUGGAUUAGCUGGUGCCCCGUGUGGACUGUCUAUUGGUGUGAUAAUUAUCUACAUCUUAGACAUCUGCUGGAAUGCUGCUUUCUAAACCUUACUUGUAUUGACAAUCUUGACCUCAAAUCAGGUAGGACUACCCGCUGAACUUAAGCAUAUCAAUAAGCGGAGGA
rnacentral:misc_RNA from 1 species